UGUCGGACAGCUGCUCCUGUCCCUGACCCCAAGCUGGUUAAUAUGCCACACUACAGGUUCCCUUCUGAUGCCAUCCAUCCUUUCCUGGCUUCAGCUGAGAUCGGGUUUUCUUCCUAGUAGCUGUGCUUACAUGGAGCCAAGGACGUUUCAGCUCCUCACACUGACCUGCCAUCGAGGAGGCCGGGGGUGCACAAGGAGCUGGGAGGGGACAGAACCAGGACAGCUGACCCUAACAGGCCAAGGGAUGUCUCAUACUAUAUGGCGUCAGGCUGAAGAAUAAAAACGGGUGAGUUGGCCAGGGUGUGCUGCCACUGUCUGGGGACAGGCUGGGCAUUGGUCAGCAGGUGGUAAGCAAUUGUGUUUUGCGUCAGUUACUUUGUAUAUUCUAUUUUUACUACUGUUAUCAUCCCUUCCUUUUCUUUUACUAUUAAAUUGUCAUUAUCUCAACCCAUGAGUUUUACCUUUUCUCUGGUUCUCUCCCCAAUCCCACUGUUGAGGAGUGAGCAAAUGGCUGCGUGGUGCUUAGCUGUCUGCUGGGUUAAACCACAACCCCUCCUUUUAGCAAACUGGUAGAAGAGCUAGAAGAAUGGGGAAGCACUGUCAAGUCUCAUCACCCCUGCAGUUCUCCUCUGGCGCCAGUAAAGACUCCAAAUGGCCAGUGGCGACUCUCGGGAGAUUAUCCAGCCUUGAACACUGCCAUUGCUCCUCAGGAAUCACAGAAUCAAAGAAUGGCUGUGGUUGGAAGGGACCUGUGCAGCCUGGUCUGCUGACUCAUGGAUGGUAGUGGAUGCCCUGGGGGUCUGUCUACCGUUGUGGAAGCAAACCAAUUGGCAGCACAGAUAUGAACCAGUCUGGGUUGCUGCAUCGUGGCAAGACGUGCUGCCCAGACAAAAAACGCUGAUGUAAAAUUACAGCAUUUAGAUACAUGUCCAAGAAGCACACCACUAAAGAACAUGGGAGCAACGACCAGGUAAAGCAGCCUGCAAAAAUGUGUCUCACGUAGACCUGGACUGGGAAUUUAAGGAUGAGCUGUUGGCUCGAUGGGCCAACGAAACAUCCAGACAUCUAGGGAGAGAUGGCACAUACAGGUAGGCUCUUGAUCAAGGAGUGGACCUGACCAUUGAGGCCAUCACACAGAUCCCCCCCAACAUGUGAAACAAGUGCAGCAAUCAAGUGAGCUACACGAGUAGUCUCCCUGGACUAGAGGGCACUGGCUAGGUUUUUGUUAGGGUGAGGCCUGGCAGAUUGUCUAUAUUGGACUGCUACCGUGACCCUCCAAG
rnacentral:lncRNA from 1 species